rnacentral:tRNA from 1 species
UUCUUAUAGUUUAUAUUAUAAAAUAUAACAUUGAAAAUGUUAGGAAAGGACCUUCUUUAAGAAUA